UACAGAGGGUGGCGAGCGUUAAUCGGAAUUACUGGGCGUAAAGCGCGCGUAGGCGGCUUUGCAAGUCGAAGUGUGAAAUCCCCAGGCUUAACCUGGGAACUGCAUUCGAGACUGCAUAGCUAGAGUAUGGGAGAGGGAAGUGGAAUUCAGGUGUAGCGGUGAAAUGCGUAGAUAUCUGAAGGAACAUCAGUGGCGAAAGCGACUUCCUGGACCAAUACUGACGCUCAUGUGCGAAAGCGUGGG
rnacentral:rRNA from 1 species